CAUAGUUUGGUUGUGUGAGGUCGAGUGUUACAGUGGGGUGGGAGUUGGUGGUGGAGACAGAGAAGUGGUGAAAAGGGAAGAAAUGGCUUAAGCUCGCUGAAGAAGAGGCGCCAGAUUGUAGUAAGGAGGCGGCAGCUGAAGUUCCAGCUGCCAUAUGAGUUGCUUCCAUAGGAAGAGGAUGGUCGUGAUUUCCUUCGUACGUCGUCAUAUAAGCGGAUAUGUAGUGACCGACCAUGAUCAAAAUCGCAGUGGGAGGACUCUCUAGUCCUUUAACUUUAGGUGAACCCUCCAAUCACUGGAUCAACAUGAAAUGGUCUACACAGUCCCAUUUUUUGUAAGAUUAAAACCAAGUUACCUAAACCGGUUUAAUUGGUUAAAGAUUCCGGAUUUUACAAAGAAACAAUUAAGUUUGGAUUUUUCGAUUUGCUUAAAUUUUCUGGGUUGUGAAUAUUGUAAAUGUUUUGUACCUGUUUCCUUACGGGACAAUUCGAGGACAUGGAGCAGCGGUAAUAGGCUCGUGGAAGAGGAUUCGUUUUUGCAGUCUUUUGACCGUAUUUCCUCCAUUGGCAACCGUCGUUUAUCUAUACAUUCAUGUACGUCAAUAUUAAUAUGUUACAUCAAAAUAAAAGAAUAUGUACAUAUGAUGUAUCAUCAUCUAAUUUGGUA